AGCCAUGCGAGUCAACGUAGCAAUACGUGGCACACGGCUCAGUAACACGUAGUCAACAUGCCCAGAGGACGUGGAUAACCUCGGGAAACUGAGGAUAAACCGCGAUAGGCCAUAAUUACUGGAAUGGGUUAUGGCUUAAACCUAUAUGGCCUCUGGAUUGGACUGCGGCCGAUCAGGCUGUUGGUGAGGUAAUGGCCCACCAAACCUGUUACCGGUACGGGCUCUGAGAGGAGGAGCCCGGAGAUGGGCACUGAGACAAGGGCCCAGGCCCUAUGGGGCGCAGCAGGCGCGAAACCUCUGCAAUAGGCGAAAGCCUGACAGGGUUACUCUGAGUGAUUCCCGCUAAGGGGAUCUUUUGGCACCUCUAAAAAUGGUGCAGAAUAAGGGGUGGGCAAGUCUGGUGUCAGCCGCCGCGGUAAUACCAGCACCCCGAGUGGUCGGGACGUUUAUUGGGCCUAAAGCAUCCGUAGCCGGUUCUACAAGUCUUCCGUUAAAUCCACCUGCUUAACAGAUGGGCUGCGGAAGAUACUAUAGAGCUAGGAGGCGAGAGAGGCAAGCGGUACUCGAUGGGUAGGGGUAAAAUCCG
rnacentral:rRNA from 1 species